CUAGGAACAAAAACCAAAUACAAAACUCAAAGAAACAGGAACAAUUUUAAAACUGUAAAGAACAGGAGAAACCAGGAAAAUUUGACAAAGAAAAGAAACAAUUCAUACUGUUUCAUUUGGCUCAGCCUUGAAUUAUGUCUGAACCAGAAGCCACACUUAAGUAAAAAUGUAUAACAAAUCAAAAGUGAUGAUUUAAGCCUUGAAAUUAUUUACACAGCCAUAGUUUUACAGUGAAAUGACACUCAGAAUAUGUGAUAUGAGAAUGACUCAUGUAAUGUUUCCCACAGUGACAAUUCACUCCAAAUCUCAUCAUCUUCUUUUAAGAAAGACUGCUAUGAAAUAUCAAAAUAACUGCACAUACAGGUCAAUUAAAAAAAGUAAAAAACACAAAUUAAAAAUAUAAUAUUUUCCAAAAAGAAAAAUGAUCAGAUACAUACACCUUUAAAAAUUGUUACCAGGUUGCAUUAUACUACACUUCCCAAACAUGUACAACAGAAAAAUAUCCACAAUGAAUGGGCAAAAUCCAUUGGGAAGCUCUCCUGCACAAGCUCCAAUAUGAAAGUUGCAUAAGGCUUUGAUAGUAUUGUUCUGAGUAUGGGGAGUUAAGCUGUAUGCCAGACCCCGCUAAAUCCCUGGAUUGAGCAAGUGUUAAUAUUUAAUCAAGGGUUCUAAUUAUUGGACAAGCAAGGCUAGCCUCCUGGUGACUAGCCAUUCAGGGGAACAAAGGAAAACAGCUCUGUGAGACCCUCUUGGGGUGUUAAUGCUGGGAAACCCUCCAUCGUAGGCUCAGGCUGUAUAUAUCUGCUGUGUCUCAUUCCAAAAAGAAACACAAACCCUGGGUAAUACGUGCUUGGAACCCCUGGAAUCUCACAACACUUGGAGAUUGGGAUUGCAUGCAACAGUAUUAUUGUGUAGCACCCUUUCAUUUUAUUGGAAAUGCCCUGGAGAGCUGGACAAAGGAUUGUGGCCAACAUUAACAACAUUUAAAAUAAACCCCUCUCCCAAUCAAAUGCUUCCAAAUUACCUCAAAGCAGUACCAAGUGUGACUGAGUAGAUUUAGAUGGAUUUUCAGCAAAAAGGUUUAAAGGUAAACACUGAAGGUCCCUGCUGGAAUAAGGCCCCCUGAUAAUCCAAGGAAAGACAAUUCUAUUUCCGAGCAGCAUAGUAAACAGGAUGCAUUUCAAAUACCAAUAUUUUUAAAAAAUGCAAACAAACUCCCAAUAUUACAGAAACCUCAUCCUUUUUAGCAUCCAUUUUGCUGUUUUGGUGACCUUGUCACAUGGUCAGACAGCAAUGAUCAGAAAUCAAUGUGACACACACACCCUGGCAGUGUUUAGCCAAUCAUCGGGCAGUUUCAGAAAUGAAUUGUAUAUUUCAUAGCACUGGACCAUUCAGACUGAUAUUGAGAUGCCACACAAGAAAAAAAAAGAAAGUUGUUUCUCUUAACAGCUUUAGGUCUCAUUGUUCAAAGCUCCUGGAGACCAUGUUGACACAACUUGUGUUUUUAUUCUACUCAUUUAUUUCAAUGUAGUUUUUGGUGUGAAAAGGAAAAGUCUCUUUUUAGGUAAAACAAAAAGAUACAGAUAUAACUGUAUGACAGUCAAGUAACAGAGCUUAGAAAGCUUGCAAAGAAAACGCAUGUCAUCAAAAACCUCAUUCUCUUGUAGAAGAGUGCACCCAUUCUUGUAGCUUUUACUCUUAAAAAAAUAAUUACACAGAACAAUUCCAUUAUACAAAAUAAAUCCAACCAUGUAUUCUCAUAGUUAACAAUGCCCUAUGUAAACCAGAGUUGCAUCCAGCAGUUCUGUACGGUGAAUAAAUUCAGAACCUACAAGAAUGUUACUGGAUCGCCUCUUGCCUGUUCUUAGCCAGCAUUAACAUUUUGGGGCAUUUUUAUUGCACCAAAAGUCAAAAUUCCACCUCUGGGUUCCCUUAAUUGAAAGCAACAACCCAGAAACAACAAAAUUAAACAGUAACGCAACAGCAAAGCCUAAUAGAUAUCUUUCCAGUCCCAUAUAAAACUAAAAUACUUUCAAGCCUGUACAUAAUACUGACAAUGAAGAACAAUGCAUUUCAAGUCUUUAUAGCAUGAUACAUAGGCAAACAUAAAGAAAAGUCAUUUGACAGUGAGAAGAAAUACAACAACUCUACUUCAAGAGCCCUGGGUGCUUUGAGGCACACAUGGAGCUCCUUCAUGAUCAUUAACUUCAGUGGAAAGUCUGCAUACACAACUUGUGAAAACAUGAAUUCACCCUCCAUUUAAAUGAACAGCAUAGGAAAGUAGUUGGGAGAUCUUUGGGCACACAGUUGAAACCUCUGGAUGAGUUUGAUUGUAUCUAAGCCUCUUAUAGACACAAUAUGGAACAUGACAUCACUCAACCUCUCUAUAACAUCUCUCUGUUAUUCUAAAAUUACAAACAGAUUAGAGAAAUGAAUGCUUCAUUAUGAACUGUGGUCCUACAUCAUCCCUUGCAAUUAUCUGUUCUGUAAGCACCCUGGAAGAUACAAUUCCUCAGUUUAUGGAAAUUAAAGGAAAGCAGCUUCUCCAUUUAUGGAGCUAAAGGAAAGAUUAAUCUGAAACAUGUUGGUUUCAGGCAUGCUGUUUCUUUGUUGAGUAAAAGAUACCCAUGAGGACGAACACCAAAUAAAUAUUGCAGGGAGGUGUGUGUUGAGGGGUGGGGUGGGGAACAGCAAAAGAAAAAUAAUCACAGAAACAAGAAGUUGGAGUUGCAGAACUUAAGUAAACUCAAGCUGUGUCCAAUGUUUGAACUGAAAUAAAAAAGAUCACACCGCCAACAAACCUGCAGAUUUUAAGCAAAGGAAACCUGCGGCAGCAAAACAUAAACAGCUACACUAGAGACACACAAUAAGAAGAAAAAAUAGCACCAAAAUAAUUGUCAAAGAUCAACACAAAAGGCACUGCAUGUCUUCCAAAAGUGAUUGUAUGGCUAGAAUGAGCACAUUUGCACUUUCAUCAGGCAACAGAUAUUUUUAAAAAUCAGACACUAUUUUGCUAUCUCACCAACUGACUUAUCAGAUCACAAUGUAGUUCUACUAGGAUGGCGUUUUCAAAAUGGAAUCGGCUCUUGCUAACAAGCAAAAGCAUUUUAAUUACAAUGGGCAAGAAUUAAGAUGACUGAAUGGCCAGUUCUAAGCAGAUGUAUGCCAAACUCAUGGAGCAAUAAAUGAGGGAAAGAAAGAAAAUGAAAACCAACUCAGGCAGGCGUACGGAACCAGUAGCUCUCCAGGUCUUGUCGGACUCGCGUCCCAUCAGCCGCAGCUGUCAUGGCCAAUGGUUAGCUGUAAAUAGGAGUUGUAGUCCAACAACAGCUGGAGGACCACUGGUUCCCUUCUCCUGAAGUUCACACAGUACAUACCUGUCUGUUGCUAAAUAUAUCAAAAUGACUGGUGACCACAAUGGGAAUUGCUGGCAGCUGUUUCUGUGAUUAUAUAAAAUCACAUGUUACAUUGAUCUGUAUGCCAAUUGGCGGUUGGCAGCUAGAGCAAAGUAGACUGGCAUGCAAAUUUAUUAAUUUACAAAGACACCAUUCAUGAACUUAAUUUCACUCUAAAAUUAGUGGUUGAUACCCCAUUGUUAGCUCAUUUAAAGUGGAUUGAAAAUGUGUGUUAAGGGUUCGACAUAGGGGUCAAUGGAGCUCCAUUUUGUGACCCUUGGCAAGUUUGCUUGCAAGCCACAUGUUGGGACACUAAAGGAUGUGCUACAGGUUUGCGUGUAGCCCUUACAUCUGAUCCAGCCUCCCCACUCCACCUGUUCACAUUUCUUGAGCAGAUCUGGCAUAAUUUGACCAAGUCUAAAGGAAGAGUUAAAUGGGAACAUGAGAAGAGCUCACACAUUCUUCAUUUUUGACACAUUGCCUCUGUGUGCAUCUGUGCAUUGCAUGAGUGCUAGGGUGGGGAAAUGGCUCUGUUUAGUCCUGUAGGGAACCUUCUGUAGUCAGACAAGGAAGGCUCAUAACCCUCUUGUUUUAAAUCACAAGAGGAAUGAAUGGAGACACUUGUGCCUUAAUAAUCUGAAAUACAAACUAAUAAAAAUGUACAUUGGAAUGUACACGGGGAGUUGACAGGCUCCAUUUCUAC